CAGUCGCCGCGGGAAUACGGAGGGUGCUAGCGUUGUUCGGAUUUACUGGGCGUAAAGCGCACGUAGGCGGACUUUUAAGUCAGGGGUGAAAUCCCGGGGCUCAACCUCGGAACUGCCUUUGAUACUGGGAGUCUUGAGUUCGAGAGAGGUGAGUGGAAUUGCGAGUGUAGAGGUGAAAUUCGUAGAUAUUCGCAGGAACACCAGUGGCGAAGGCGGCUCACUGGCUCGAUACUGACGCUGAGGUGCGAAAGCGUGGGAAGCAAACAGGAUUAGAUACCCCUGUAUCCCUGUCUCUUAUACA
rnacentral:rRNA from 1 species